rnacentral:lncRNA from 1 species
UUUUCUAGAGAAUUGGUGUUAGGUUGAGAGCUUGUUGUAAAACAUAUUAUUGUUUUAAUGAUAUAUAAUUAUAUGUGCUGAUAUAAAUAUUUAUAUUAUAUAUCAAAUAAAAUAAUUAUAAUAAAAUAGUAGCAUAAACUGAAUAUUAUAAAUCUAUUUGGAUUCCUAUGCUCAAGAACAAGUCUUUACGCAACCAAUAAAUCAACCCAACGAACAACCCUUUAGAAAUGA